rnacentral:rRNA from 1 species
UAGAGUGGCGUACGGGAGAGUAACACGUAAGUAAUCUACCCUUGGGUGGGGAAUAACUUAGGGAAACCUAAGCUAAUACCGCAUAAUGCAGCGGCCCCAUAAGGAGACAGUUGUUAAAGCAUUUAUGUGCCUAAGGAGGAGCUUGCGGCAGAUUAGCUAGUUGGUAAGGUAACGGCUUACCAAGGCGACGAUCUGUAGCCGGUCUAAGAGGACGGUCGGUCUCACUGACACUGAAUAACGGGUCAG